UACGAAGGGUGCAAGCGUUGUUCGGAAUGACUGGGCGUAAAGGGCGUGUAGGCGGCUUUGUGCGUCAGAUGUGAAAGUCCUGGGCUUAACCUAGGGACUGCAUUUGAUACGGCAGAGCUAGAGGUAAUGAGGGGAGGAUGGAAUUGCGCAUGUAGAAGUGAAAUUCGUAGAGAUGCGCAGGAACACCAGUGGCGAAGGCGAUUCUCUGGCACUUACCUGACGCUAAGGCGCGAAAGCGUGGGGAGCAAACAGG
rnacentral:rRNA from 1 species